GGUUAAGCGACUAAGCGUACACGGUGGAUGCCCUGGCAGUCAGAGGCGAUGAAGGACGUGCUAAUCUGCGAUAAGCGUCGGUAAGGUGAUAUGAACCGUUAUAACCGGCGAUUUCCGAAUGGGGAAACCCAGUGUGUUUCGACACACUAUCAUUAACUGAAUCCAUAGGUUAAUGAGGCGAACCGGGGGAACUGAAACAUCUAAGUACCCCGAGGAAAAGAAAUCAACCGAGAUUCCCCCAGUAGCGGCGAGCGAACGGGGAGCAGCCCAGAGCCUGAAUCAGUGUGUGUGUUAGUGGAAGCGUCUGGAAAGGCGCGCGAUACAGGGUGACAGCCCCGUACACAAAAAUGCACAUGCUGUGAGCUCGAUGAGUAGGGCGGGACACGUGGUAUCCUGUCUGAAUAUGGGGGGACCAUCCUCCAAGGCUAAAUACUCCUGACUGACCGAUAGUGAACCAGUACCGUGAGGGAAAGGCGAAAAGAACCCCGGCGAGGGGAGUGAAAAAGAACCUGAAACCGUGUACGUACAAGCAGUGGGAGCACAGAGCAAUCUGUGUGACUGCGUACCUUUUGUAUAAUGGGUCAGCGACUUAUAUUCUGUAGCAAGGUUAACCGAAUAGGGGAGCCGAAGGGAAACCGAGUCUUAACUGGGCGUUAAGUUGCAGGGUAUAGACCCGAAACCCGGUGAUCUAGCCAUGGGCAGGUUGAAGGUUGGGUAACACUAACUGGAGGACCGAACCGACUAAUGUUGAAAAAUUAGCGGAUGACUUGUGGCUGGGGGUGAAAGGCCAAUCAAACCGGGAGAUAGCUGGUUCUCCCCGAAAGCUAUUUAGGUAGCGCCUCGUGAAUUCAUCUCCGGGGGUAGAGCACUGUUUCGGCAAGGGGGUCAUCCCGACUUACCAACCCGAUGCAAACUGCGAAUACCGGAGAAUGUUAUCACGGGAGACACACGGCGGGUGCUAACGUCCGUCGUGAAGAGGGAAACAACCCAGACCGCCAGCUAAGGUCCCAAAGUCAUGGUUAAGUGGGAAACGAUGUGGGAAGGCCCAGACAGCCAGGAUGUUGGCUUAGAAGCAGCCAUCAUUUAAAGAAAGCGUAAUAGCUCACUGGUCGAGUCGGCCUGCGCGGAAGAUGUAACGGGGCUAAACCAUGCACCGAAGCUGCGGCAGCGACGCUGAUGCGUUGUUGGGUAGGGGAGCGUUCUGUAAGCCUGUGAAGGUGUGCUGUGAGGCAUGCUGGAGGUAUCAGAAGUGCGAAUGCUGACAUAAGUAACGAUAAAGCGGGUGAAAAGCCCGCUCGCCGGAAGACCAAGGGUUCCUGUCCAACGUUAAUCGGGGCAGGGUGAGUCGACCCCUAAGGCGAGGCCGAAAGGCGUAGUCGAUGGGAAACAGGUUAAUAUUCCUGUACUUGGUGUUACUGCGAAGGGGGGACGGAGAAGGCUAUGUUGGCCGGGCGACGGUUGUCCCGGUUUAAGCGUGUAGGCUGGUUUUCCAGGCAAAUCCGGAAAACUAAGGCUGAGGCGUGAUGACGAGGCACUACGGUGCUGAAGCAACAAAUGCCCUGCUUCCAGGAAAAGCCUCUAAGCAUCAGGUAACAUCAAAUCGUACCCCAAACCGACACAGGUGGUCAGGUAGAGAAUACCAAGGCGCUUGAGAGAACUCGGGUGAAGGAACUAGGCAAAAUGGUGCCGUAACUUCGGGAGAAGGCACGCUGAUAUGUAGGUGAAGUCCCUCGCGGAUGGAGCUGAAAUCAGUCGAAGAUACCAGCUGGCUGCAACUGUUUAUUAAAAACACAGCACUGUGCAAACACGAAAGUGGACGUAUACGGUGUGACGCCUGCCCGGUGCCGGAAGGUUAAUUGAUGGGGUCAGCGCAAGCGAAGCUCUUGAUCGAAGCCCCGGUAAACGGCGGCCGUAACUAUAACGGUCCUAAGGUAGCGAAAUUCCUUGUCGGGUAAGUUCCGACCUGCACGAAUGGCGUAAUGAUGGCCAGGCUGUCUCCACCCGAGACUCAGUGAAAUUGAACUCGCUGUGAAGAUGCAGUGUACCCGCGGCAAGACGGAAAGACCCCGUGAACCUUUACUAUAGCUUGACACUGAACAUUGAGCCUUGAUGUGUAGGAUAGGUGGGAGGCUUUGAAGUGUGGACGCCAGUCUGCAUGGAGCCGACCUUGAAAUACCACCCUUUAAUGUUUGAUGUUCUAACGUUGACCCGUAAUCCGGGUUGCGGACAGUGUCUGGUGGGUAGUUUGACUGGGGCGGUCUCCUCCUAAAGAGUAACGGAGGAGCACGAAGGUUGGCUAAUCCUGGUCGGACAUCAGGAGGUUAGUGCAAUGGCAUAAGCCAGCUUGACUGCGAGCGUGACGGCGCGAGCAGGUGCGAAAGCAGGUCAUAGUGAUCCGGUGGUUCUGAAUGGAAGGGCCAUCGCUCAACGGAUAAAAGGUACUCCGGGGAUAACAGGCUGAUACCGCCCAAGAGUUCAUAUCGACGGCGGUGUUUGGCACCUCGAUGUCGGCUCAUCACAUCCUGGGGCUGAAGUAGGUCCCAAGGGUAUGGCUGUUCGCCAUUUAAAGUGGUACGCGAGCUGGGUUUAGAACGUCGUGAGACAGUUCGGUCCCUAUCUGCCGUGGGCGCUGGAGAACUGAGGGGGGCUGCUCCUAGUACGAGAGGACCGGAGUGGACGCAUCACUGGUGUUCGGGUUGUCAUGCCAAUGGCACUGCCCGGUAGCUAAAUGCGGAAGAGAUAAGUGCUGAAAGCAUCUAAGCACGAAACUUGCCCCGAGAUGAGUUCUCCCUGACUCCUUGAGAGUCCUGAAGGAACGUUGAAG
rnacentral:rRNA from 1 species